ACUUUUUUUUUUACAGUGUGUACGUGUAUGCACACACUGCAUGCCUAUCAGUCUCUACAUACCUGCCUUUCUACUCGUUGCAUGCUCGGAACGCCCCAAUAAUUACUGUGCUAUUCAGCUUUGGGACUCAUGACCCUUUACCUGUUUGUGUCUUUAACUGAAUUUUGACUACUCUCUUUCUAACCCUCACAGAUGUAUGGUGUGGAGGAGACUCUCUGUGGGGCCACUCCAGAGGCAAGCCGGCCAACGCCGAGCAUGAAUCUGAUGUGUCGAUGUGGAGGAGAUACAACGCUCUCUGUUGGGCCACUUCUUUGAGCUGAUCCAUCCAGAGUCAGGCCAACGCCGAGCAGAUGAAUAUGAUGUAUCGGUGUGGAGGAGACUCUCUGUGGGGCCACUCCAGAGGCAGGCCGGCCAACGCCGAGCAUGAAUCUGAUUAGACUCUCUCCAUGGUGGACCAUCUGCAGAGGCAGGCCAGCAUGGAAUCUUUGGACAAUUAAUGAACAAUGUUGGCAAUUGCCAUAUUAUGUUUAAUUAUGUAAUUAUUGAUAAAUUGUUCAUUUGUAGUAUAUAUUGAGUAUAGGUUGAGAUACACAAACAUGAUGAGUAGCAGUAACAACCUUCAAUAUGUAA